ACGAUCCGGCAGAGGCGCCGGACGCACGAGAACGGCCCCACCGGUUCCGGUGGGGCCGUUCUCGUCUGCGAGGUCUGCGGAGCAGA
rnacentral:pre_miRNA from 1 species